UGCGGUUCUCUGCCCACCCAUUUCCAGAGGGCGCCACACUUCGAGCCUGCGCAGUCGGUCUCCACCGUCCGAAACCUGACGGUCGCUUUUCUGUUCUCACUUUCCUGAUUCUCUCUACAUUUUCUGGCGUUUCCACUCAGCUGCCCCUCCGUUGGUGACCUUUUUCUUCCGUGACUCCUCAGCUCUGGGUCCCCCCUCCCUGGGUGUUGGCCCGGGCACGCCUUGUUGGAGCCCGUGAACGGCUUGCUGCUUUUCGCUUGCUCCUUCUCUGCCCCUCCCAACCCACGGAGCGCCAUAUUCUCUGUCGGAUUUGUUAGAUGCUGCACUCACCAAUAAAGACCUUUCCUACAAGCCUUGGUGGUCUAUGAGAUCUCUGCUGGUCAAGUGCCGCCCUUUCAGGAUUCUCUCCUUAAGUAAUUCUGAUACUGGAGUUUCAGGUUCUGGGUCUCCGCAAUUCAACAGACCACAGGAUCAGUGCAGGAGUUGUGACUGAAGUUGACCUGGAUGAUGAAAGACGGAAGAGGAAGACAGGUGUGCUUGACAGACGCUGCCACAGCACCAGCAGGCUCCUGCGCACUCCUCUGCCCUUGGUGGGAAAGCUGGGAAAGGCGGUCAGUGUUAUCUCUGAGGCUGAAUGACAAAAGGAAGAUUUUGAAGUCUGAGAUAAACCUGUGACCAAAGAAAGGCAAAUUUGGUCCAGUUGUUUUAAAUGACUGAAAGUCUAUCCCAGUGGACUUUAAUUUAAAAAUUAAAUUCUAUAAUCAGCAGCUCUGUAUUCUGUCUAGUGGACUGGUUUUGUUAGCAAUUCCUAAUCAUCACUGUCUACCAGAUAACAUCUAGCUCGCUAUCUAGAC